AUUGAACGCUGGCGGCAGGCCUAACACAUGCAAGUCGAGCGAGCGGCGGACGGGUGAGUAAUGUAUGGGGACUGCCCGAUAGAGGGGGAUAACUACUGGAAACGGUGGCUAAUACCGCAUACUAUCGGAUAACCCAUAUGGGAUUAGCUAGUAGGUGGGGUAAAGGCUCACCUAGGCGACGAGCUCUAGCUGGUCUGAGAGGAUGAUCAGCCAACCUGGAACGGGGACACGGCCCAGACUCCUACGGAGGCAGCAGUGGGGAAUGUUGCACAAUGGGCGCAAGCCUGAUGCAGCAAUGCCGCGUGUAUGAAGAAGGCCUUAGGGUUGUAAAGUACUUUCAGCGUGGAGGCGUUACCCACAGAAGAAGCAACGGCUAACUCCGUGCCAGCAGCCGCGGUAAUAC
rnacentral:rRNA from 1 species